UACUAAAAUGAAAACUACAGACAUAUCCCGUUGGCGCACCCAAUUUUUGAAAUAAAAUUUCUACGAAACGUCGAAACCAUAUUUUCUAAAAUUCUGAUUUCGUUUUUUUUUUACCAUCAUAAACACUUUCAGUUCCUCGUUCUUUCUCAGAAAAGCGAUAAUGAUCGUAAGUUUCUCUAGGAUUCGAUCUGAAAUAAAGACAGAGGAGAGGCGGCUGUGAGAAUUUAGAAAAAAAAAAGAAAAAAAAAAGAAAAGAGAAUCAGUGGUCGAGAUAAACGAGUGAUGGAUGCUUGUGGAAGAGAUUGAUGAAUUAUUGUUGUUGUAUGAGGUUCAGAGAUUAAAUGGAGUUAUUGAAGACGUCAGUUCACAGAAAUCAAUCUCAAAGAUGAUGAAGAGGGAAGAAAUAGGGUUUUCUACUGUUGUUUGAAGAUUAAAGGAAGAAGAAGAAGAAAUUGGGUUUCUGUUGAUGUAUACAGAAGAUCAGAUUAAGAGAAUGGAAGAAUCAAUUCGGAUAAGAGAGGCAGCUCAACCAUUAGACCUUAUUGAACUGGUGAAGGGAAUCAAGAAGGAAUUAUCUAGAGCAAAAAGGGGAGUUAAAUAAAACUGCGUCUUUGAGCGAACAAAGAGGUGGGGUUUGCUGAAAUAUCCUCCGUUAUUUCUACAUUUUGGUUUUGAAUACUGUUUGUGUGAUUCAUUAUUUUGAUACUUCAUAGUCAACUUGUAAAGUUAAGUGAUGGAGCAAUCAGUAUAUGUAUGGCCACCAUAAUAUCUUCCUUCGACUAGGUAUAUGGUAGGUUAGCUAUCAUGUAGAUUAUGAAUUCCACUACGAACUUGCUUUAAUAGAUUUCUCGAGCUUUCAGUGAAAUGAGGUAUAAUAAGAUGAA